CAGCAGCCGCGGGAACACGUAGGUGGCAAGCGUUGUCCGGAAUUAUUGGGCGUAAAGGGCUCGCAGGCGGUUUCUUAAGUCUGAUGUGAAAGCCCCCGGCUCAACCGGGGAGGGUCAUUGGAAACUGGGAAACUUGAGUGCAGCAGAGGAGAGUGGAAUUCCACGUGUAGCGGUGAAAUGCGUAGAGAUGUGGGGGAACACCAGUGGCGAAGGCGACUCUCUGGUCUGUAACUGACGCUGAGGAGCGAAAGCGUGGGGAGCGAACAGGAUUAGAUACCCCCGUAGUCCCUGUCUCUUAUAC
rnacentral:rRNA from 1 species